rnacentral:rRNA from 1 species
UACGUAGGGGGCUAGCGUUGUUCGGAAUUACUGGGCGUAAAGCGCGUGUAGGCGGCCAACUAAGUCGGGCGUGAAAUCCCACGGCUCAACCGUGGAAGUGCACUCGAAACUGGAUGGCUAGAGUCCUGGAGAGGAAGGUGGAAUGCUUGGUGUAGAGGUGAAAUUCGUAGAUAUCAAGCGGAACACCGGUGGCGAAGGCGGCCUUCUGGACAGUGACUGACGCUGAGACGCGAAAGCGUGGGGAGCGAACAGG